ACUGAUGGCGCCGCUGCCCCGGAUACGUAAGCUCUCCGAAUAAAGCUAAAGGCUUGGAACACCAAUGUACCGGAAUCAGUUGUCCAGAUGGUCAACGGAAGAACUGUUUCUUUAAGGACAAUGGUACCUACAAAGUUUGCACGAGAAAAGAUGAGGAUUGCUACCGGCGGUGGACGGUGGCAUGCCAGUUUCCCUAUGGCCUAACUUGCACUGAAAACCAGAAUUGUGUUUGUGUGAUUGUG